rnacentral:rRNA from 1 species
GACGAACGCUGGCGGCGUGCUUAACACAUGCAAGUCGAACGGAAAGGCCCUGCUUUUGUGGGGUGCUCGAGUGGCGAACGGGUGAGUAACACGUGAGUAACCUGCCCUUGACUUUGGGAUAACUUCAGGAAACUGGGGCUAAUACCGGAUAGGAGCUCCUGCUGCAUGGUGGGGGUUGGAAAGUUUCGGCGGUUGGGGAUGGACUCGCGGCUUAUCAGCUUGUUGGUGGGGUAGUGGCUUACCAAGGCUUUGACGGGUAGCCGGCCUGAGAGGAUGACCGGCCACAUUGGGACUGAGAUACGGCCCAGACUCCUACGGGAGGCAGAAGUGGGGAAUAUUGCACAAUGGGCGGAAGCCUGAUGCAGCAACGCCGCGUGCGGGAUGACGGCCUUCGGGUUGUAAACCGCUUUCGCCUGUGACGAAGCGUGAGUGACGGUAAUGGGUAAAGAAGCACCGGCUAACUACGUG